UACGUAGGGGGCGAGCGUUGUCCGAAGUUACUGGGCGUAAAGCGCGCGUAGGCGGGGGAUUAAGUGAGAGGUGAAAGGCUGGGGCUCAACCCCAUGCAGUGCCUCUCAUACUGUUCUUCUUGAGGGCGGUAGGGAGAAGUGGAAUGGCUGGUGUAGCGGUGAAAUGCGUAGAUAUCAGGAAGAACACCCGUGGCGAAGGCGGCUCUCUGGUACGUGACUGACGCUGAGACGCGAAAGCGUGGGGAGCAAACAGG
rnacentral:rRNA from 1 species